rnacentral:rRNA from 1 species
UGAACGCUGGCGGCGUGCUUAACACAUGCAAGUCGAACGGGAAACCUUUUAUUGAAGCUUCGGCAGAUUUAGCUGGUUUCUAGUGGCGGACGGGUGAGUAACGCGUGGGUAACCUGCCUUAUACAGGGGGAUAACAACCAGAAAUGGUUGCUAAUACCGCAUAAGCGCACAGGACCGCAUGGUCCGGUGUGAAAAACUCCGGUGGUAUAAGAUGGACCCGCGUUGGAUUAGCUAGUUGGCAGGGUAACGGCCUACCAAGGCGACGAUCCAUAGCCGGCCUGAGAGGGUGAACGGCCACAUUGGGACUGAGACACGGCCCAGACUCCUACGGGAGGCAGCAGUGGGGAAUAUUGCACAAUGGGGGAAACCCUGAUGCAGCGACGCCGCGUGAAGGAAGAAGUAUCUCGGUAUGUAAACUUCUAUCAGCAGGGAAGAUAGUGACGGUACCUGACUAAGAAGCCCCGGCUAACUACGUG